ensembl:lincRNA
GUAACCUUUUAUCUGAGCCUGAACACUUCACUCUUAUCCAGCCCUAAGAAGCUGAAUCUGCCUGUAGCUGUACAGACAUCACCCAGGGUUGCUGAAUAGCUGACCACACUCUCAAGUAAAAGGAGAGCCAAAGCUGGUGUAAAAUAAGUACAGCAGACGUGUGUGUUCAUCUGACCUGCAGUCUGUUCAUAAGAAGAUCCUUGAAGACCUCUGUGCAGUGAAGCUAAAUCACACAAGAGCUCUUUCUGCUCCUCAACUUUGUGUCGAGAUUUCAUCAAGAUGGCAGCAGACUUACUUGAGGACCCUUUAGAGGACAUGGCCAAGUGUUUGUUAUCGUUUAAGAACACGUUUCAGUGGUUUGACAACAUUAAAAAGGAGAUAGAAGAGAGGUGUGGCAUUAAAACAGAGCAUUGCUGGAAAGAUGAUGACAUUAGACAAGCUUGGAUAGAAACACAGAAAAUGGCAAAAGGUUACAAAAGAAACCAAUGGGCGUAUGUGAUAACAUUCCUGGAGAUGAAAAUGUUUGAUGAUGAUGAAAAUGAGACAACUGAAGUAGAGUCUGAUGUAACUGAGCAUGCACAGAAAGAGCAGCCAUGUGGCAGUGCGUCAAAACGGAUUCAAUUGAUAGACCAACACAAAGAGCAUCUCAAUGCAUUACUGAACGCACAUAUAAACUAGUGGGGGAUAUGUAUAAAAGUGAAAAAGCAAACGGUGGUUACAUUCAUUUUGGCUAAACAAUAGUUUUUGAUAGGACAGGCACCUCUGAACAAACUAAAACAUAUAUUCAACAUAUAUAGCUAUAAAUGUAAGUAUCUUCUAUGAUGCACUGGUCUUCUGUGAUUUACUGGUAGUACCAAGUUAGUUAUAUAUGUAUAUAUUAAAUAACCAAAAAUAGCCAUGGGGGAAUAUUCUCCAUAUUUGCAUAAUAUUGUUAUUAUUUUAAAAAAUAACUAACCUAACAUUCUGGAAAGUUUUUAGAGUUGCAAAAAAUAACCUGAAACAAUGUUCACUUUGGUUAUUUAAAAAAAAUAAUCAUAUAAAAAUGGAGAGAACAUAAUUUCUAAGCAUAAUAGUGUUAAUAACUCAUCUCUAAUAACCGAUUUAUUUUCUCUUAAUGAUGACAGUAAAUGAUAUUAGACUAGAUAUUCUUCAAGACACUUCUAUACAGCUUAAAGUGACAUUUAAAGGCUUAACCAGGUUAAUUAGGGUAACUAGGCAGGUUAGGGUAAUCAGGCAAGUUAUUGUAUGAUGAUGGUUUGUUCUGUAGACUAUCGGAAAAAUAGUGCUUAAAGGGGCUGAUCAUUUUUUCCUUAAAAUGGUGUUUGAAAAAUUCAAAACUGCUUUUAUUCUAGCCUAAAUAAAUCAAAUAAGACUUUCUUCAGAAGAAAAAAAUAUCAGACACAGUGUGGAAAAAUCCCAUGCUCUGUUAAACAUCUUUUGGGAAAUAUUUAAAAAGAAAAAAAAAAUCAAAUGGGCGCGAAUAAUUCUGACUUCAACUGUGUGUGCGUAUGUGUAUAUAUAAUUAUUAUAUAUUUUCUGUAAUUUGUAAUUUUAAAAAUAAUGUAUUUUAUACCAAAAUGAAGAGUGCCCGUCUGAGGGCUCCCAGGUAUCAAAAUUUUGCGAGCCCUAAAACCUCAUGAUUUGAUUUGAUUCCUCAUAAGUAACAAAUAAAAAUACAUGUUUCUCUGUUACAAAGAAUCAAAUCAACGACAUUUCGAGAUUAGCGAUCAUGCCAUGGCAUAUGAAAUGUGUUUAUCUAUCAUAAGAUGCCUGAUUUAUUGAAUAUAUUCUCAGACAAAAUUAAAAUACUGUUCUCUGACUUUCUAUUAUUGUCCUGUUCAUCAUUGUAAAUCAGCUAUGACCAUCUACACUGUAAAAAAGUGCUGUAGAAAUAAAGAUGACUUGACUA